AAAAUUUAUUAAUAAUUUAUUUUAUAUAUAAAUUUUAGUGUUAAUUUAUAAUUAUUUUAAUAAUAAUUAUAUUAUUAUAGUAGUAAUUAAUAUUAAAAAUUUAAGAAAUUAAGAUUUAGUAAUAUAAAAAUAAAUAACAAAUUUUGUGCCAGCAGUUGCGGUUAUACAAAAAUUUAAAUAAAUUAUUAUUAGUGGUAGAAAAUAUAAUUAAAAUUAAAUUAAAUAUUAAAUUAUUAGGUGAAAUUAUAAUUUAUUUAAAUUUUAAUGAGUUAUUGUUAUCUAAUAAGAUUUGUUAAUAAACUAGGAUUAGAUACCCUAUUAUAAAAGAUUAAAUUUAAACAUUAAAAUAGUAGAUAAUUUAUUUAUUGAAAUUUAAAUAAUUUGGCGGUAUUUUAGUUCAUUUAGAGGAAUCUGUCUUGUAAUUGAUAAUCCACGAAUAAAUUUACUUAAUUUAAAAUUUUAUAUAUCGUUGUUAAAAAAAUAUUUUUAAUAAAUAAUAAUAUUUUAAAAUUUAUAAUAAAAUUUAAAUCAGAUCAAGAUGUAGAUAAUAAUUAAGAAUUAAGAUGGAUUACAAUAAAUUAAUUUAAAUGAAUAUUAAUUUGUAAUAAGUUAAUUAAAAGUGGAUUUAAAUGUAAUUUUAUUUAAUUUAUUAAAAUGAUUAAAAAUUAAAGUAUGUACAUAUUGCCCGUCGCUUUCAUUAUAAAUUGAAAUAAGUCGUAACAAAGUAGAGGUACUGGAAAGUGUUUCUAGAAAGAAUUA
rnacentral:ncRNA from 1 species